UUGCAUCAUGAUUUACAUUUGAGUGAGUGGCGAACUGGUGAGUAACACGUGGGAAACCUGCCCAGAAGCGGGGGAUAACACCUGGAAACAGAUGCUAAUACCGCAUAACAACUUGGACCGCAUGGUCCGAGCUUGAAAGAUGGCUUCGGCUAUCACUUUUGGAUGGUCCCGCGGCGUAUUAGCUAGAUGGUGGGGUAACGGCUCACCAUGGCAAUGAUACAUAGCCGACCUGAGAGGGUAAUCGGCCACAUUGGGACUGAGACACGGCCCAAACUCCUACGGGAGGCAGCAGUAGGGAAUCUUCCACAAUGGACGAAAGUCUGAUGGAGCAACGCCGCGUGAGUGAAGAAGGGUUUCGGCUCGUAAAACUCUGUUGUUAAAGAAGAACAUAUCUGAGAGUAACUGUUCAGGUAUUGACGGUAUUUAACCAGAAAGCCACGGCUAACUACGUGCCAGCAGCCGCGGUAAUACGUAGGUGGCAAGCGUUGUCCGGAUUUAUUGGGCGUAAAGCGAGCGCAGGCGGUUUUUUAAGUCUGAUGUGAAAGCCUUCGGCUCAACCGAAGAAGUGCAUCGGAAACUGGGAAACUUGAGUGCAGAAGAGGACAGUGGAACUCCAUGUGUAGCGGUGAAAUGCGUAGAUAUAUGGAAGAACACCAGUGGCGAAGGCGGCUGUCUGGUCUGUAACUGACGCUGAGGCUCGAAAGUAUGGGUAGCAAACAGGAUUAGAUACCCUGGUAGUCCAUACCGUAAACGAUGAAUGCUAAGUGUUGGAGGGUUUCCGCCCUUCAGUGCUGCAGCUAACGCAUUAAGCAUUCCGCCUGGGGAGUACGGCCGCAAGGCUGAAACUCAAAGGAAUUGACGGGGGCCCGCACAAGCGGUGGAGCAUGUGGUUUAAUUCGAAGCUACGCGAAGAACCUUACCAGGUCUUGACAUACUAUGCAAAUCUAAGAGAUUAGACGUUCCCUUCGGGGACAUGGAUACAGGUGGUGCAUGGUUGUCGUCAGCUCGUGUCGUGAGAUGUUGGGUUAAGUCCCGCAACGAGCGCAACCCUUAUUAUCAGUUGCCAGCAUUAAGUUGGGCACUCUGGUGAGACUGCCGGUGACAAACCGGAGGAAGGUGGGGAUGACGUCAAAUCAUCAUGCCCCUUAUGACCUGGGCUACACACGUGCUACAAUGGAUGGUACAACGAGUUGCGAACUCGCGAGAGUAAGCUAAUCUCUUAAAGCCAUUCUCAGUUCGGAUUGUAGGCUGCAACUCGCCUACAUGAAGUCGGAAUCGCUAGUAAUCGCGGAUCAGCAUGCCGCGGUGAAUACGUUCCCGGGCCUUGUACACACCGCCCGUCACACCAUGAGAGUUUGUAACACCC
rnacentral:rRNA from 2 species